GAAAGACCGAAGCUAAACUUCGGUAAGCCAUGGAAACCGGGCGGCUAGAGUGCGGAAGAGGAUCGUGGAAUUCCAUGUGUAGCGGUGAAAUGCGUAGAUAUAUGGAGGAACACCAGUGGCGAAGGCGACGGUCUGGGCCGCAACUGACGCUCAUUCCCGAAAGCGUGGGGAGCAAAUAGGAUUAGAUACCCUAGUAGUCCACGCCGUAAACGAUGGCUACUAAGUGUCGGGGGUCAAACCCCGGUGCU
rnacentral:rRNA from 1 species